AGGUGACAGUGUGGUUGGACCACAAGGUCUCCCCGGCCCAAUGGGUCCCAAAGGUUCAUCUGUGGAGGGUCCCCGUGGACCACCAGGAGUUCCCGGCCCCGUCGGAGCCCCUGGUGAAGGCAGACCCGGCCCCCCAGGCCCCCCCGGGCUGUUGGAAGACAGUGUGUCGUCCAGAAA